rnacentral:lncRNA from 1 species
UGACCGAUUCUUUUACUCAAUGAAGCAAGCUUCAGAAAGCUUAAACACAAUGGUAUCCUGAAACAGAAUAGUUUGCCUGCAAAUGUUCAGUAACUUUCACUGGAUACAAUUAUCGAAAAUCAAUGGCCGGCCGAUAGCCAUUCGGCAAAAAGUCACUUUCAUUAUCAUUAGUAUGAAAAUAUAUUCAGUACUUGCAGUGAACUUGCCUAGUAAACAGGAACUCUGACCAUUUAGGAAAAAGUCACUCCCACUGACAUUAGUAUAAAAAUAUAUUCAGUAGUUGCAGUGAACUUGUCUAGUAACAGGAAUCUUGACCAUUCAGGAAAAAGUCACUCUCAUGAACAUUAGUCUAAAAGUAUAUUCAGCACUUGCAAUGAACUUGCCCAGUAAAGAAAAAAAUUGAUUAGAACCACAUCAGAAGUUUGUGAGUAUAAAACAUGAGUGAAUUGGAAAAUAAUUUUCUUGUCAUUUCCUUUGAAAUGUUAAACAACAAUCUUAAUAAAAGUUUCAGAGAGUCAGGUAUAUUUGUACACAAACCAAGCAACUUAAGCACGCAAUCCUACUAAAAGAUAUCAAUAAUGGUUAAUUUCAACUUACUAAGACAGAGUGUGCGGUUUUUUAAUUUGUUAAGCAGGUUUGCAUAAUAACCAAACAGCUAUGAACUGAUGGAUGACUAGACAUCAGAAGCUUGACCAUUUCCACACCAAACCCCCGGCCUGUGGGAGCACUAUGUUAGAGGAUACCAGCUAGUGUAUUCUCCAGAACUUCGAUAUACGCAAAAUAGAGCAUGGCAGAAAUUGCAGUGAACUGCCUCCUUGACAAGCUCAAGGACUUUAGAGAAAACGGGGUUCUAUUCAGAGGUGCCGAGGAAGAAGCAGAGCCAAAAAACAUCAAGGUGCUGAUCAUAAUCAAGUACCUCUCUUUCAAGACGGAUCUGGCCACCAACGAAUGAACCGCUUCCUAGGAGAAAGAUGAGCUCGUCUAUCGCCACAUCUGCUAAAUCAAAACGGUCACUCACACCGAAACAGACGAUGAACUUCCCCUAUCUAUUUCAUCAUAAACUGAAUGAUUGUUGGAGAGAUACAGAGAGGGAAUGCACGCUCAAGUAUAAAUUGUGAAGAAGACCGAUUUGAAUCAUUCAAAACACUGAGAACGACUAUAAUCUUGUCCUAAUUCCUCAAUUUAGG